rnacentral:lncRNA from 1 species
UACGGAGAUGUGAGAGGCUAGUUAUGGAUGGUUUUAAGUGGGGUAGAGCUAGGCCUAAGAAGUAUUGGAGGGAGGUGAUUAGACAUGACAUAGAGCAGUUACAGUUUACGGGGGACAUGACCCUUGAUAGGAAGGUGUGGAAGACGCCAAUUAGGGUAGAGGGUUAGUGCGUACGAGUACGUUUGCAGUGUAUUAGUGAUGCCUAUGUUUUUCAAAUAGAUAUUUUAUAGUAUUACCUUCUAUGUGCCUUGUUUUUAUUAUUAUCCUUUACUAUCUAGCGGCAUGAUAUCCCAUGUUGUUUGCAUGUUGUAUGUGUUUUGCUUGUUAUAUUGUUAUCUGUCCUGAGUCUGGGGUCUAUCGGAAACAGACUCUCUACUUCAUUUGAGGUAGUGGUAUGAACUGCGUACACUUUACCCUCCUCAGACCCCACUUGAUAGGAAGAUACUGGGUAUGUUGUUGUCAUUGUUGGUUUCUUAUUGAUUGUUUGGUUUGCUGAACUAAGAAUAAUAUUCAUUGCAUACUUUCUAAGAAUAAGUUGUUUGUUUUCAAAAAUACCAUCCACCUUAUUUAGCUUUAUAUAUACUUUUUCGAUAGAGCUUUAGUUAUUCAUUCAGAAAAAACAAAACUUCCACGUUAUUUAGAUUAAUUAUUUUUAUGUAUGCAUUCCCGUGACUUUUUUGUGUUCAACUAUGUGCCAAUUUUAUAGGCAAUGCAUCGAUUUUUUUGUAAUUAUGAUGUGCUAUUAUUAAAAUAUGAUCAAUAGGCCGUCUUUAGAGGCAGUAGCUUCUUUGUAAUUAUGAUGUGCUAUUAUUAACAUAUGAGCGACUGGCCAUCUUCAGAAUCAUAUAAACUUUGGCCUUGAUCAUCAUCAGGUGAGAGCUUGACUCAAAUUCAUCGCUCUAAACUUUUGCAUCCAAAAAGCCACACACAUCAGCCAAAGGAGGAUAUUAUGAUGUUCGUCUGCAUAUGGAUUUAGGACAUCGAUUGAUGUACUGACUGUGUUACGAAAAGGGUUUGAGGUUUAUUUUUUUGAUUCAAUUACUUUAUCCCAACAUAAAUUAUCCUGGUAGUAGAAUACCACCAAGUAUUAUACCACCAAAAGGGAAGGGAGGGAUAACUUAUCCCAAUACUAAUUAUUAAUCCAGGUUAUCCCAGACUUUGCAACCAAACAGGAAAUUAAGAGAGACUAAAACUUUAUCUCACGACUAUUUGGUCGUAUUCAUCAGACGAAACGACCCCUUAGGGGCUUGUAUGGUACGAGGGAUGAGGGUGAAUAAUCCCAAAAUAAAAUGUAGGAUUAUUUUAUCCUGCGUUUGCUUAGGAGUAUAAGUCCAAGGACUAUUUAUUCCACCAUUUACACUAUAAUCUAUAAUGAUAGACUAAGUUAUCCCCCAUAUAUAUAACCUAUCCAUGACAUAUCCCAAUAAUGGGAUAACUUUGUUUAUUCCAUCCCUCGUACCAAACGACCCCUUAAAAGUCUUUUAUCCCAAGUACACCACAACAAUUGGUGUUGUAACAGUUUCUUAAUUAACCAAAUGAAGCUUAAUCUCCUCACUCGAACUAGGCCAUAAGAAAUCUCAUUAUUCGAUUGACGCAUUGUUAAAAACUCUUCGAUUUUUAUCCCAAGCCCACCCCAACAUUUUGGUGUAGUAAUAAUUAACCAAAUGAAGCUUCCUCUCCCCACUGGAAUAGCAGCAACAUACCCAAUGAAAUCCCACAAGUGGAUUUUAAGUAGGGUAAGUGUACGCAGACCUUACCACUAUCUAGUGGAGGUAGAGAGAUUGUUUCCAAACUCUCCCCACAAUAAUCAUCCCAUAACUCUAUUCAUCAUCCUACCCAACACUUACAGCAUUAACAUGAGCAACAUAGGAGAUAGCAGGUCACCCUUUCUAAUUAAGCUACCAAAUAAACCACAUGGACAAUCACAAGGACAGGAAACUUCUUGUUAAAAUGCAAAACCUAAUCCAUUCCUCCAUCUUGAACCAAAUCCCAUCCUCAUCAUGAUGAAAUCAAGGAACUCCCAAUUUACAAGACCUGAGGCUUUUUCAAGAUCCAGAUUACACAAUGCUCCUAGUUCCCCUUGCUUUCUUAUCGAAUCAACCACUUCAUUAGCCCUCACUUGCAUCUAGAACCUAACCCUGUUCCACAAAACAUUUCACAAAGUAAAUAUAAUCUUAUAGAUGCUUUUCACUAGACUUAUAGGUUUACAAUCAUUUAUGCUCUAUGCUCUCCCCACCCCUAUCAUUUCAAAACAAUGACAAUGAAAGAGGCAUCCUGGCUUUUUUCCUCACCCUCGUAGAUUGGAAUGUCAUUAUGGUUUGCAUUACCUUAUCCUUAACAAUAUCCCAAAAAUGCUGGAAAACUGCCAACGUGAACCAACUAGUCCCUUUUAUCUUACCAUAUUAGAUUAAACUCUUGAACACGCCCCCAUCAUAUUAGCCAUCGCAAAGUACGAGAAAAAAAUUAUCUUAGUCCCCCCUCCUCCCACCAAAAGUUGUAUUUUGCCUCCAACUAAUCUCUACACAAUAGAAGCUAGCUCUACUUUCAACUCCUCCUCACUCUCUUCCAUUCCAUCCCACCUUCCC